GGCUGCGUUACCACCGACCAGUCCUCAGCCGGCAACAUGAAGCUGGGUGGCCUCUGCCUCCUGCUCCUCCUCGCCGUCCUUCUCACCCUCAAUGCAGAGUUCCAAGCAGUUGAUGUAGGUAUCUGUGUGACGGAGUGCAAGGUAGACCAGGACUGUGGGGCAGGAAGACGAUGCACCAGCAAUGGAUGUGGCCGGGUCUGCUCCCCAGUCCGGCGAAGAGAGGCCUGCGAGCACCAGUGCAGAGAAGACAGGGACUGUGGGAGUGGACAUCAGUGCGUGAGGAAGGGCUGUGGGCACGUCUGCGCCCCCGUCCAUCAAGUCGAUGUAGGUAUCUGUGUGACGGAGUGCAAGGUAGACCAGGACUGUGGGGAAGGAAGACGAUGCACCAGCAAUGGGUGUGGCCGUGUCUGCUCCCCAGUCCAGCAAAAAGAGGCCUGCGAGCACCAGUGCAGAGAAGACAGGGACUGUGGGAGUGGACAUCAGUGCGUGAGGAAGGGCUGUGGGCACGUCUGCGCCCCCGUCCAUCAAGUCGAUGUAGGUAUCUGUGUGACGGAGUGCCGUGUAGACCAGGACUGUGGGGAAGGAAGACAAUGCACCAGCAAUGGAUGUGGCCGUGUCUGCUCCCCAGCCCAGCAAAGAGAGGCCUGCGAGCACCAAUGCAGAGAAGACAAGGACUGUGGGAGUGGACAUCAGUGCGUGAGGAAGGGCUGUGGGCACGUCUGCUCCCCCAUCCCUCAAGUAGGUAUCUGUGUGACGGAGUGCAAUGUAGACCAGGACUGUGGGGCAGGAAGACGAUGCACCAGCAAUGGAUGUGGCCGUGUCUGCUCCCCACCCCAGGGAGGAGGACUCUGUGUGGACCGCUGCCGAGGAAACUGGGACUGUGGGGCCGGAGAAGAAUGUAUCAGGAAGGGAUGUGGACGGGUCUGCUCUCCAGCCCAGGAGCCAGUGGUAGGUAUCUGUGUGGAUCAGUGCCAAAGACACUGGGAAUGUGGUCCACGGAUGCGGUGUGUCUCCACUGGAUGUGGCCACAUCUGCUCACCAGCCCAAGACCAAGGUAAGAGGUGCAAGCCUUGCCUUCCAAGCCCCUGACUGACUGAAUGCUUGGCUCUG
rnacentral:lncRNA from 1 species